UUUUAUUGAUUGUAUUAAUUUAAAUUUGUAUUUACUAACUCCUAGGUGGUUCAGUUAGAGCGUCAACCUCUGCAUCUGUCCAUACCCCAUCUACCUCUUCAUCAGAGAGACCACGUCCUUCAACUUCUCAGCCUCAGAACGUAAGACAACAACAACAUGGGCAAUAUUUACGGUCAACUACAAAUACCAGCCACAGCCUAUCGUCUGCAGAUACUAUUCCAGAUGUAAGGAGCAGUACACCAGAUACAGCUGUUGGAAGAAGCUCUGCCGAUGUUGGACGUCUCUUCAGAGCCAUGGUGACCGAAUCAGCACCACUUUUUGAUGAUAUCGCCGAGGAGGACGAUUCAUCAAGAGAGGUGAUUCUGAAUCUUGUUCCAGUUCCAG